GUCGUUACCAUAGUGGCAGUAUUGUAGCCAGAGGUUUAACUGAGGCGUAAUUAUUGCUUAUUGAAAACAUUUCCCAAUACCCCGCUAUGGUGACUUGUAACAAAGUUGCCAUUAGCAAUUUUUGAUAGUCUCUUCGGAGA